GACGAACGCUGGCGGCGUGCUUAACACAUGCAAGUCGAACGAAGAGCGAUGGAAGCUUGCUUCUAUCAAUCUUAGUGGCGAACGGGUGAGUAACGCGUAAUCAACCUGCCCUUCAGAGGGGGACAACAGUUGGAAACGACUGCUAAUACCGCAUACGAUCUAACCUCGGCAUCGAGGAUAGAUGAAAGGUGGCCUCUAUUUAUAAGCUAUCACUGAAGGAGGGGAUUGCGUCUGAUUAGCUAGUUGGAGGGGUAACGGCCCACCAAGGCGAUGAUCAGUAGCCGGUCUGAGAGGAUGAACGGCCACAUUGGGACUGAGACACGGCCCAGACUCCCACGGGAGGCAGCAGUGGGGAAUCUUCCGCAAUGGACGAAAGUCUGACGGAGCAACGCCGCGUGAGUGAUGACGGCCUUCGGGUUGUAAAGCUCUGUUAAUCGGGACGAGAGGCCUUCUUGCGAAUAGUUAGAAGGAUUGACGGUACCGGAAUAGAAAGCCACGGCUAACUACGUGCCAGCAGCCGCGGUAAUACGUAGGUGGCAAGCGUUGUCCGGAAUUAUUGGGCGUAAAGCGCGCGCAGGCGGAUUGGUCAGUCUGUCUUAAAGGUUCGGGGCUUAACCCCGUGAUGGGAUGGAAACUGCCAAUCUAGAGUAUCGGAGAGGAAAGUGGAAUUCCUAGUGUAGCGGUGAAAUGCGUAGAUAUUAGGAAGAACACCAGUGGCGAAGGCGACUUUCUGGACGAAAACUGACGCUGAGGCGCGAAAGCCAGGGGAGCGAACGGGAUUAGAUACCCCGGUAGUCCUGGCCGAAACGAUGGGUACUAGGUGUAGGAGGUA
rnacentral:rRNA from 1 species